rnacentral:rRNA from 1 species
AAGGGGAGGGCAAGUCGUAACACGGUAAGUGUACCGGAAGGUGCACUUGGAACAAACCCAGGGUAUGGCUGAGUUAGUCAAGCAUCUCACUUACACCGAGAAGACAUCCAUGCAAGUUGGAUUACCCUGAGCCAAACAGCUAGCUUACCAACCAACACAACUAAAAAAUAUAAAUAAAAUAAAAUAGACCAAACACCAAAAACUAAACCAUUUUUUUACCUUAGUAUGGGCGACAGAAAAGGUUCAACCCAAAGCAAUAGAAAUAGUACCGCAAGGGAAAGCUGAAAGAGAAAUGAAACAACCCAUAUAAGCAAUAAAAAGCAAAGACUAAACCUUGUACCUUUUGCAUCAUGAUUUAGCCAGUAAACACAAGCAAAGAGAUCUUUAGUUUGAAACCCCGAAACCAGGUGAGCUACCCCGAGACAGCCUAUUAAGGGCCAACCCGUCUCUGUGGCAAAAGAGUGGGAAGAGCUCCGGGUAGAAGUGACAGACCUACCGAACCUGGUGAUAGCUGGUUGCCUAAGAAGUGAAUAGAAGUUCAGCCUCGUAUACCUCUAAUCAAGCACACAUAAGCCAAGACACUAUGAGAAAUACACGAGAGUUAGUUAAAGGGGGUACAGCCCCUUUAACAAAGGAUACAACCUUAUUCAGGAGGAUAAAGAUCAUAAUACAUAAAAUAUACUGUUCUAGUGGGCCUAAAAGCAGCCACCUAAACAGAAAGCGUUAAGG